rnacentral:rRNA from 1 species
GACGAACGCUGGCGGCGUGCUUAACACAUGCAAGUCGAACGAAGAGCGACGGAAGCUUGCUUCUAUCAAUCUUAGUGGCGAACGGGUGAGUAACGCGUAAUCAACCUGCCCUUCAGAGGGGGACAACGGUUGGAAACGACUGCUAAUACCGCAUACGAUCUAACCUCGGCAUCGAGGAUAGAUGAAAGGUGGCCUCUACAUGUAAGCUAUCACUGAAGGAGGGGAUUGCGUCUGAUUAGCUAGUUGGAGGGGUAACGGCCCACCAAGGCGAUGAUCAGUAGCCGGUCUGAGAGGAUGAACGGCCACAUUGGGACUGAGACACGGCCCAGACUCCUACGGGAGGCAGCAGUGGGGAAUCUUCCGCAAUGGACGAAAGUCUGACGGAGCAACGCCGCGUGAGUGAUGACGGCCUUCGGGUUGUAAAGCUCUGUUAAUCGGGACGAAAGGCCUUCUUGCGAAUAGUGAGAAGGAUUGACGGUACCGGAAUAGAAAGCCACGGCUAACUACGUG